ACACGUGGAUUCUGCUGCAGAACUUGAGACCAUGGCCAAACCAGCACAGGGUGCCAAGUACUGGGGUUCCAUUCAUGACUUCCCAAACUUUGACCCUAGCCAGGAUGCUGAGGCUCUGUACACCACCAUGAAGGGAUUAGGCUGUGACAAGGAGGCCAUACUGGAGCUGAUCACUUCCCAGAGCAAUAGUCGGAGGCAGGAGAUCUGCGAGAGCUACAAGUCCCUCUACAGCAAGGACCUCAUUGCUGACUUGAAAUAUGAGCUGAUGGGGAAUUUUGAAUGGCUGAUUGUGGGCCUAAUGUGACCACUUGCCUAUUUUGAUGCCAAGAAGAUUAAAGAUUCCAUCUCAGGCAUUGGCACAGAUAAGAAAUGCCUCAUUGAGAUCUUGGCUUCCUGGACCAAUGAGCAAAUUCACCAGCUGGUAGCAGCAUACAAAGAUGCCAGUGAGUGGGACCUGGAGUCUGACAUCAUUGGCAACACCUCUGGCCACUUCUAGAAGAUGCUUGUGGUCCUGCUCCAGGGAACCAGGGAGGAGGACAAUGUAGUGUGGGGGGAUGUGGUACAACAGGAUGUCCAGGAUUUCUAUGAAGCAGGGGAACUGAAAUGGGAAACAGAUGAAGUCCAGUACAUUCACAUCUUGGGAAAUUGCAGCAAGCAGCAUCUUCGAUUGGUGUUUGAUGAGUACCUGAAGAUGAUGGGAAAGCCUAUCGAAGCCAGCAUCUGAGGCGAGCUGUCCAAGGACUUUGAGAAUCUAAUGCUGGCUGUGGUGAAAUGUCUCCAGAGCACUUCAGAGUAUUUUACUGAAAGGCUUUUCAAAGCCAUGAAGGGACUGGGGACUCGGGACAACACCCUGAUCCACAUCAUGGUCUCCCAGAGACAGCUGGACAUGCUUGACAUCCGUGAGAUCUUCCGGACCAAGUAUGAGAAGUCUCUCUACAGCAUGAUCAAGAACGAUGCCUCUGGCUAGUACAAGAAGGCUCUGCUGAAGCUGUGUGGUGGAGAUGAUGCUGCUGCUGGCCAGUUCUUCCUGGAGGCAGCUCAGGUGGCCUAUCAGAUGUGGUAACUUAGUGCAGUGUCACGAGUAGAGUUGAAGGGAACAGUGGGUCCAGCCAAUGACUUCAACCCUGAUGAAGAUGCCAGAGCACUGUGGAAAGCCAUGAAGGGACUUGGAACCGAUGAAGGCACCAUCAUUGAUAUCACACACCAGCAAUGCUCAGAGGCAGCAGAUCUGGCAGAUCUUCAAGUCUCACUUUGGCCAGGGCUUAAUGACUGGCCUGGUCUGAGCUCUCUGGAGAUCUGGAGAGGCUGAUUCUGGGGCUCAUGAUGUCACUGGCCCACUAUGUUGCCAAGCAGUUGAAAAAAGGCCAUGGAGGGAGCUGGCACAGAUGAAAAGGCUCUUAUCGAAAUCCUGGCCACUUGGACCAAUGCCGAAAUCCAGGCCAUCAAUGAUGCCUAUAAAGAGGACUAUCACAAGUCCCUGGAGGGUUGUCUGAGCUCAGACACAUCUGGCCACUUCAGGCAAAUCCUCAUUUCUCUAGCCACGAUGAACCGUGAAGAAGGAGGAGAAGACCAGGACCAGGCCCAGGAAAAUGUCCAGGUGGCUGCUGAGAUCUUGGAGGUAGCAGACACACCUAGUGGAGACAAAACUUCCUUGGAGACACGUUUCAUGAUGGUUCUGUGCACCUGCAGAUACCCUCACCUACGGAGAGUUUUCCAGGAGUUCAUCAAGAUGACCAACUGUGAUAUAGAACACAUCAUCAAGAAGGAGAUGUCUGGGGAUGUCAAGAAUGCAUUUGUGGCCAUUGUUCAAAGUGUCAAGAAUAAGCUUCUUUUCUUUGCUGACAAACUUUACAAGUCAAUGAAGGGUGCUGGCAUGGAUGAGAAGACCCUCACCAGGAUAAUAAUCUCUCAGAGUGAGACUGACCAGCUCAAUAUCCAGUGGGAAUUCAUUGAGAAAUAUGACAUGUCUCUUCACCAAGCCAUUGAGGGCGAUACCUCUGGAGACUUCCUGAAGGUGUUGUUGGUUCUCGGUGGUGGUGAGGACUAG